UUGUCUUGUGUAGUCCAUGAUAGCAUCGAAACCAUCCUCCAUGGAAAAUGGACAGCGCGGGUCAUUC